rnacentral:rRNA from 1 species
GACGAACGCUGGCGGCGUGCCUAAUACAUGCAAGUUGAACGCUGAAGGAGGAGCUUGCUCUUCUGGAUGAGUUGCGAACGGGUGAGUAACGCGUAGGUAACCUGCCUGGUAGCGGGGGAUAACUAUUGGAAACGAUAGCUAAUACCGCGUAAAAGUAGAUGUUGCAUGACAUUUAAUUAAAAGGUGCAAUUGCAUCACUACCAGAUGGACCUGCGUUGUAUUAGCUAGUUGGUGGGGUAACGGCUCACCAAGGCGACGAUACAUAGCCGACCUGAGAGGGUGAUCGGCCACACUGGGACUGAGACACGGCCCAGACUCCUACGGGAGGCAGCAGUAGGGAAUCUUCGGCAAUGGACGGAAGUCUGACCGAGCAACGCCGCGUGAGUGAAGAAGGUUUUCGGAUCGUAAAGCUCUGUUGUAAGAGAAGAACGAGUGUGAGAGUGGAAAGUUCACACUGUGACGGUAUCUUACCAGAAAGGGACGGCUAACUACGUG